UACUUUAUCUAUUCACCACCCUGCACGCGCCCGAUCUCGUCUGAUCUCGGAAGCUAAGCAGGGUCGGGCCUGGUUAGUACUUGGAUGGGAGACCACCUGGGAAUACCGGGUGCUGUAGGGG
ensembl:rRNA 5S_rRNA 5S ribosomal RNA